rnacentral:rRNA from 1 species
UGCGCCUACGGGACGCAGCAGUAGGGAAUUUUCGUCAAUGGGCGCAAGCCUGAACGAGCGAUGCCGCGUGAGUGAAGAAGGCCUUCGGGUCGUAAAGCUCUGUUGCGGGGGAAAAAAGGCAGCAUCAGGAAAUGGGUGCUGACUGAUGGUGCCCCGCCAGAAAGUCACGGCUAACUACGUGCCAGCAGCCGCGGUAAUACGUAGGGGGCGAGCGGUAUCCGGAAUGAUUGGGCGUAAAGGGUGCGCAGGCGGUCCUGCAAGUCUGGAGGGA